ACUAGUGAUCCCUUCCUUGCUAGAAUUACUUUCUUUGUUUCUUAAGCUUUUGAUGGGAGAUAGUAAUUUCCUUUCGUAACCUUAUAGUGGAUCAUAGUUUUGUGGUGUGUGAGAAUUCGGGGACGAAUUCAUUAAAGGAGGGGAGAAGGUAACACCCGAGAAAUUAGCGUAUAGCCGUUGACCGGGUACUUUGUAGAAACAUGGAAAAAUUGACUUUUUUGAACGAUAGCUCGUAUGGAUGAUCCGAGACCACAGAUGCAUAGAGCUCAUCGAGUACAUUCCGUUUGACUAUUUACACGGCGCGUUUGGAGUUUGGAUCAAAGAGUUAUAGUUUUUUAAGCUGCUAGGCAGGCGGACCAUGCUACAGGAGGCAUGCUACAGUAACCACGCUACAGUGCCCCCAUCCCCGUUUCAAAACCCUAAGCCAUCGCCCCUCCCUGCGCCGCCGCUCCCUUUGCCGUGCACCAAAAAAACAGAGAGGGGAGAGGGGGAGGAAGAGAAGGAAAACUAGGGCACGUCGUCGUCGAUCCUCACCGUUCCUCUCCAAAAACUGCUUGGAGGUAGUCGAAGGAUUACGGUGGCCCUCGCCGCUAAGCAAAUAGUGGGGAAUCGUUGUUGGGUUUAUCGUCGACACCGUUGCCUUUGCUGUUUGCAAGGAAAAACCCUAAGUGAGACUUGCUCUUGCUGUAGAACAUGUUUUCCCUCUGGUUUUAGAGGUUUUUAGCGCAUGGGAGAAGCUGUAGUAGUCACGGUUUGGACUAGGAUUAAUGUUUUACCCUCGUCACUAUACUCAGCAUGCCAUCAAUUUGUGCAGUUUCCGUUCGUGGCAGUUUUUUGUGGUCUUAAUGAUCUCAAAAAAAUAUCAAAGCUUUAUAUGAGUUGGAGAAAAGUUAGGGAUCUUUCCAUGGCCGCAGAGAACACCUCAAUCGGAUUUAAGAUGAGGGAGAAACUAAGGAUGGAAUCUGACUGUUUUUCAGUCUCGUAAUUCUGGGCAGUUUCUGUUAACUUGAAGUUUAGGAAAUCUUAAUGGAGUUAUUGGACUUUCUGGUAGUUAAAAUAGUUGUAGAUAAUUUCAUACACUUUUCAGAUUGGUAAAUAUCAUGUUCAUACGAAUUUUGGAGCUUUAGUUAUGACUGUUUUAGUAGGACUGUUCUGCAGAAUCUGUCAGAUUGUCAGAUUAAGGUUCACCUCGGGUUUACCCAAUGCUAAUGAUUUUUGCUAUACUUUUGAAUAACUAUAAAGUUGUAGGUUAUGAAAUUAUAUUUCUUGUGGGGAAAAAUCAGAAUUUGUUUCCAUCAGAAUUAAAUACUCAAAAAAAAAAGCAAUAGUGCUGCUGUUUUCACUAGAUUAGCAGAUCGUGACGUGAGGAUGUUAGGUUCGGGCGUAGGAUCGCUUUACUCGAUGUUUUUAUUUUGAAGUGUAUUUGUUUUGGUGCUGAGCUAUACUUGUGAGCAGGUGGUGCACCUUCGGAUAGUGCCUAGUUCAAAGCUCUCUUGAUCUUCGUCGAAGGGAAGUAAACGUAGCCGUGGUUUUUGCUACAGCUUUAACUUGUUAUUUAUCCUACCUACACAUUAAAAUGCAGAACCUUACUCAAAGCAAUAUGAUCUCAAUAACCUAAUAUUAAAUUGUUUUGUAAAUCUAUUUAUGUCAUUUUAUGAUAAGAAUUGUGAUUUUCUAUCAUGAGGUAAGUUGUAUAUUCAUAUAUGGGGUUGUGUAUGGCACAAAUGAGGAGCAUACUUGCAGUGCAUCAUAUCAUUGCAUCAUAAUGCAUUUUGCACAGCAUUCGUGGAUGUCCCCAUCUUAUGGCCGCGACCGUACCAGUACAGCAUCGUACGUUGCCCGAGGAGGGAUACGAUGCAGCUUAUACCUUGUUGGGUAUGGAGGCAGUGGACAUGUUAUAUGCAUUACAUUUGCAUUCAUGGUGACUUAUAUAUUGAAGCAUUGGACUUUUUUUUGAGAUGUGGAUAUCAAGUUGUAUAUCUUUAUGGUUGAGGUUUGUUUAUUUAUUUCAUAUGAAGUCGGGUGUCUUAAAUGUUAUACAUCUCCGCUUAAAUUGUUGUCUAAUGAACCUGUAGUUUAAAUAACUUAUUAAAGCAGUUUGCUUGCUGAGAUUUAUUCUCACACCCGUUAUCUUUCUAGGUGCUUGAGUGGAUGCUUUACUUGAAGGGAUGGGAUUAGCUGCACAUCAUCACAUCUUUGACCACAUGCUUUUAUAGCAAUAAUGACAAAUUUUGUCUUGGUGUAAUAAGUUUUCUAGUAGACCUUGUGUUGGUUUUUCUUGGCUUCAUAAGAUUGAGUGUGGAGGACAUUUGUUAUUUAUCCUUUGUUUAAAUUGCUCUUUAAUUGCUAA